CUUCCGCCGCUGCCUCAUCGCCAGGGUCAUGUCACCGUUGCAAACCACCGCCGUUCUGACUAUUGGAAGCUGCCAUCGAGCCUUCGCCUUCUUGGUAAAGUUAGGAGCAUGCACC